rnacentral:lncRNA from 1 species
CUUGCUUUCAUUUCUUACUGCUAGUUAUUCUUGCAUGUAUUAACCAAUCUAACCUGAUUUUACUCUAAUUUGUACAAUUAAAAAUCAAAAGGUUUUUUUUUUGUAGUUCAAUUUAAUUUCUAUCUUUUUCGGCUGUUGCUAAGCAACUUUUAGGUUGCUAUGGUCAAUUUCAUUUUCUUGAAAAAAAAAAAUGAUGACUCAGACAUCAUAUAUAUGAAAGAAAAAUCAUUUACAGUAGCUAAAUCUUUAAAUAUUGCUAUAUUUAUACCUCAUAUGGCCGAAAUUACAAAUUUUUGAACCGUUGCUAGGCAAAAUUUUUGUUGCUAGGUUGUUGCUAAGCAUUUUUUUAAAACUGAAAUUGAAGUGACUUUUCAUUUGCAAACUCAAGUUAGUGUUAAACAAACAAUAUUAUUUUGAAUUAUGCUAAUGUGUAAUGAGAAAGCAAUGCAUAUGUGAUAAUUUGGCUAUUUAUUUAAACCGUUGCUAGGCAACCUUCCUUUCACCGGAACAUAAAAAAAUCAUAGUUUUGAAUAGUUUCUAUACUAAGGCUAUCAAUGAUGUAUAUAUAAACUUAUUUGGGAAGGGGGCCAAAAACGCCUCUUAUCAUACCUUGUCCUUUGAAAUUA